UGAGGAAUAUUGGUCAAUGGACGAGAGUCUGAACCAGCCAAGUAGCGUGAAGGAUGACUGCCCUAUGGGUUGUAAACUUCUUUUAUAUGGGAAUAAAGUAUUCCACGUGUGGGAUUUUGUAUGUACCAUAUGAAUAAGGAUCGGCUAACUCCGUGCCAGCAGCCGCGGUAAUACGGAGGAUCCGAGCGUUAUCCGGAUUUAUUGGGUUUAAAGGGAGCGUAGGUGGAUUGUUAAGUCAGUUGUGAAAGUUUGCGGCUCAACCGUAAAAUUGCAGUUGAAACUGGCAGUCUUGAGUACAGUAGAGGUGGGCGGAAUUCGUGGUGUAGCGGUGAAAUGCUUAGAUAUCACGAAGAACUCCGAUUGCGAAGGCAGCUCACUAGACUGCAACUGACACUGAUGCUCGAAAGUGUGGGUAUCAAACAGGAUUAGAUACCCUGGUAGUCCACACAGUAAACGAUGAAUACUCGCUGUUUGCGAUAUACAGUAAGCGGCCAAGCGAAAGCAUUAAGUAUUCCACCUGGGGAGUACGCCGGCAACGGUGAAACUCAAAGGAAUUGACGGGGGCCCGCACAAGCGGAGGAACAUGUGGUUUAAUUCGAUGAUACGCGAGGAACCUUACCCGGGCUUAAAUUGCAGAUGAAUUACGGUGAAAGCCGUAAGCCGCAAGGCAUCUGUGAAGGUGCUGCAUGGUUGUCGUCAGCUCGUGCCGUGAGGUGUCGGCUUAAGUGCCAUAACGAGCGCAACCCUCGUGUCCAGUUACUAGCAGGUUAUGCUGAGGACUCUGGACAGACUGCCAUCGUAAGAUGUGAGGAAGGUGGGGAUGACGUCAAAUCAGCACGGCCCUUACGUCCGGGGCUACACACGUGUUACAAUGGGGGGUACAGCAGGCAGCUACCGGGCGACCGGAUGCCAAUCCCGAAAGCCUCUCUCAGUUCGGACUGGAGUCUGCAACCCGACUCCACGAAGCUGGAUUCGCUAGUAAUCGCGCAUCAGCCACGGCGCGGUGAAUACGUUCCC
rnacentral:rRNA from 1 species